rnacentral:lncRNA from 1 species
GAAUUUUGCUCGUAGCUAAUAUGGAACUUCAACUGAAGAUGGAGUGAGCUGUUUUGAUAGUGAAGCCUCAUCAGAUGAGUAUUAGCUAUGGCACUUGAAGCUCUCGCACUUGUAUGUCAAAACAAGGAGCUCUUUCUAUUCGUAAGAAGAGAAUUGGUGAGAGGACUACCUCAUCUGGAAUUCAAUAUGGAUGAAGCUCAUGAGGUAUGUCAAUAGGGAAGUCGAAGGAGCAUCGCACAGAAGCAAAGAUAUGACUAACAUUACUGAGCCGCUUCAGAUGAUACGUAUGGAUUUCUACGGAUCAGCUAAUGUCAUGUCUGCAAACAAAGCUAGAUAUCUUUUUGCGAUGAUCAUUGACUGCUCUAGAUUCUUUCGUGUUGUUCAUAUGUGUUCGAAGGACAAGAUGUCACAAAUGAAGGUUGAUCAAGAUGAACCCUGAUCAUUGAUAAAUCCAGAAAGACACCAUUCUUUCCGGUGGCC